rnacentral:lncRNA from 1 species
GUUGAGGAAGAAUUGGUGGAGAAAGUCAAGGAGUGAUAAGUGGAGGAUUUUGAGGAGAAAAUCAAGGAAUUUGAUUAAGAGGGGGAAGUUGUGCCGUUUGGGGAGUUUUGAGUGUGUGGAAUUCGGCUAGGGGGAGUUUUGGAGUCAUUUUUGGCUUUUGAGGGACUGUUGGUUUUUAUUUUAUUUUAUUUUUCUCUUUGUCUGCUUCGGUGUGGGAAAGCAUUUUCGUUUUCUCCUUUUCCUUUUAGUGCCAAACCUUGCAAAGACUUCAAAGUAUCUCCCGAGUUUGUUCGUUUUGUUUUUCUACCUUUUCCUUUAUGCCCUUUUUGUUUUGGCCGAAUAGCCUUUGGUUCUUUC